rnacentral:rRNA from 1 species
AGCGGCGGACGGGUGAGGAAUACAUCGGAAUCUGCCCUGUCGUGGGGGAUAACCUAGGGAAACUUAGGCUAAUACCGCAUACGACCUACGGGUGAAAGCGGGGGAUCGCAAGACCUCGCGCGACAGGAUGAGCCGAUGUCCGAUUAGCUAGUUGGCGGGGUAAAGGCCCACCAAGGCGACGAUCGGUAGCUGGUCUGAGAGGAUGAUCAGCCACACUGGGACUGAGACACGGCCCAGACUCCUACGGGAGGCAGCAGUGGGGAAUAUUGGACAAUGGGCGCAAGCCUGAUCCAGCCAUGCCGCGUGGGUGAAGAAGGCCUUCGGGUUGUAAAGCCCUUUUGUCCGGGAAGAAAUCGUCUGGGCUAAUACCCCGGGCGGAUGACGGUACCGGAAGAAUAAGCACCGGCUAACUUCGUGCCAGCAGCCGCGGUAAUACGAAGGGUGCAAGCGUUACUCGGAAUUACUGGGCGUAAAGCGUGCGUAGGCGGUUCGUUAAGUCCGAUGUGAAAGCCCUGGGCUCAACCUGGGAACUGCAUUGGAAACUGGCGGGCUGGAGUGCGGUAGAGGGUGGCGGAAUUCCCGGUGUAGCAGUGAAAUGCGUAGAUAUCGGGAGGAACACCCGUGGCGAAGGCGGCCACCUGGACCAGCACUGA